UACGGAGGGUCCAAGCGUUAUCCGGAAUCAUUGGGUUUAAAGGGUCCGUAGGCGGUUUUGUAAGUCAGUGGUGAAAGCCCAUCGCUCAACGGUGGAACGGCCAUUGAUACUGCAAGACUUGAAUUAUUAGGAAGUAACUAGAAUAUGUAGUGUAGCGGUGAAAUGCUUAGAGAUUUACAUGGAAAUACCAAUUGCGAAGGCAGGUUACUACUAAU
rnacentral:rRNA from 1 species